GUACACGACAACCCAUGACUCAUCGGCCUAUCUUCACCCUCCCGGACAAUCACCUAGCUUUGGAAGACACGUAGAGUCUGAGCAGCUUCCUCGCCAAAAACUGGAGAGACAACAGGAUAAGGCGGGGCUUGAAACAGAUUAAAGACUCGGUCCUACAAGCUUGACACAAGAGUUAACCCAUGCCUGACUGCCGUUUUCCUCCUUGCUGAGAAAGGACGUCUCAGG